rnacentral:rRNA from 1 species
GACGAACGCUGGCGGCGUGCUUAACACAUGCAAGUCGAACGGCAAGGCCCUGCUUUUGUGGGCUGCUCGAGUGGCGAACGGGUGAGUAACACGUGAGUAACCUGCCCUUGACUUUGGGAUAACUCCAGGACACUGGGGAUAAUACCGGCUAGGUGCUCCUGCUGCCUGGUGGGGGUCGGACCGCUUCGGCGGUUGGCGAUGGACUCGCGGCUUAUCAGCUUGUUGGUUGGGUAGUUGCUUACCCAGGCUUUGACGGGUAGCCGGCCUGAGCGGGUGACCGGCGACAUGGGUACUGAGAUACGGCGCAGAGUGCUACGGUGGACAGCGGUGGGGAGUAUUGCCCAAUGGGCGGAAGUGUGAUGCGGCGGCGCCGCGGGCGGGAUGCCGGCCUGCGGGUUGUAAACCGCAUUGGCCUAAGACGAAGCGUGGGUGACGGUAAUGGGUAAAGAAGCACCGGCUAACUACGUG